CCUACAGGUUACAAUGGUUAAGCAGAUGCUCCUUAAACAUCAAAUCUCAUUUUUUGUAACAUUCAUCAUGGAUUUUUAAAAGUAUCAAGUUGAAGCUAGCCACUAAAUAUCUUCUGAUUUUUAAAGUUAUCAAUUCCUUCACAUAAUAUUUCAUAGAUGUUGAUCUUAAAGGAAAAGGGGAAAAAAAGGAAAGAUCUCUCAGAGGCAAGAGCUUUAUAUCUCAAAAUAUUUUA
rnacentral:lncRNA from 1 species